rnacentral:rRNA from 1 species
CCCUUAGAUGUUCUGGGCAGCACGCGUGCUACAAUGGUCUUCGCAAACGGAUGCAUUCUCGAAGGAGAAUGCCAAUCUUGGAAUCUAUGCCUUGGUCGGGACAGUUGCUUGCAAUUUUUCGACUCGAACCAGGAAUUCCUUGUAAUCGUGAUUCAUCACAUCACGAUGAAUACGUCCCUGCCCUUUGUACACACCGCCCGUCGCUCCUACCGAUCGAAGAGUUAGGUGAAUUGUUUUGAUCGAUAAGAUUUGACUAUGGUCAACUCUCGUUGUGAAAUUCUGUGAAUCUGACUGUUUAGAGGAAGGAAAAGUCGUAACA